rnacentral:rRNA from 1 species
GACGAACGCUGGCGGCGUGCUUAACACAUGCAAGUCGAACGGAAAGGCCCUGCGUUUGUGGGGUGCUCGAGUGGCGAACGGGGGAGUAACACGUGAGUAACCUGCCCUUAACUUUGGGAUAACUUCAGGAAACUGGGGCUAAUACCGGAUAUGAUCUCCUGCUGCAUGGGGGGGGUUGGAAAGUUUCGGCGGUUGGGUCUGGACUCGCGGCUUACCAGCUUGUUGGUGGGGUAGGUGCUUACCAGGGCUUUGACGGGUAGCCGGCCUGGGAGGGUGGCCGGGCACCUUGGGCCUGAGGUACGGACCAGAAUGGUACGGGCCGCAGUGGUCGGGAAUCUGGCGCAGCGAGCGCACGCGUGAUAUAGAAACGCCGCGUGCGGGAUGACGGCCUUCGGGUUGUAAACAGAUUUGGACUGUGACGAGGCGUGAGGGACGGUACUGGGUAAAGAAGCACCGGCUAACUACGU